AUAUAUAUCCUUGCGGCGAACGUGACGUCACUUUAACUAACUAAACGGCUACCAUUAUGGUAUGGGGGCAAACAAAGCGCUUGAAAAUAGAGAAAUGUGUUUUUGAUUGUUCAAUUAAUGUUAAUAGUCAUCCGAACUUGAUUUUUUAUAUUUUGCUUCCUGAUCCAAAGAGAAGAAAAUCGUGGUUUUAUGCUUUAUAUAGAAUUGAUUCAUCUUGCAAACAAACUUUGGUCGCAAAACAUGUCUAAGUUUGCUCAAAACAUUUUGUAUUUGAAUAUUAUGUACAAAAAAGUCAUUGCAAUAAAUCUCAAGUUAUUAAAGUCAGUGAACAAAUAAGUACUGAUAAAUAAUGCAGCAUUAGCUAGGAUUGUUCUUAGGUCACAAAACAAUCUUACAAAUAGAGUUUCUGCCGCUGUCACUGGUUUUAGAGAGUACCUUCGUGAA